AUUGAACGCUGGCGGCAUGCCUUACACAUGCAAGUCGAACGGUAACAGGUCUUCGGACGCUGACGAGUGGCGAACGGGUGAGUAAUACAUCGGAACGUGCCCAGUCGUGGGGGAUAACUACUCGAAAGAGUAGCUAAUACCGCAUACGAUCUGAGGAUGAAAGCGGGGGACCUUCGGGCCUCGCGCGAUUGGAGCGGCCGAUGGCAGAUUAGGUAGUUGGUGGGAUAAAAGCUUACCAAGCCGACGAUCUGUAGCUGGUCUGAGAGGACGACCAGCCACACUGGGACUGAGACACGGCCCAGACUCCUACGGGAGGCAGCAGUGGGGAAUUUUGGACAAUGGGCGAAAGCCUGAUCCAGCAAUGCCGCGUGCAGGAUGAAGGCCUUCGGGUUGUAAACUGCUUUUGUACGGAACGAAAAAGCUUCUCCUAAUACGAGAGGCCCAUGACGGUACCGUAAGAAUAAGCACCGGCUAACUACGUGCCAGCAGCCGCGGUAAUACGUAGGGUGCGAGCGUUAAUCGGAAUUACUGGGCGUAAAGCGUGCGCAGGCGGUUAUGUAAGACAGAUGUGAAAUCCCCGGGCUCAACCUGGGAACUGCAUUUGUGACUGCAUGGCUAGAGUACGGUAGAGGGGGAUGGAAUUCCGCGUGUAGCAGUGAAAUGCGUAGAUAUGCGGAGGAACACCGAUGGCGAAGGC
rnacentral:rRNA from 1 species